AGUAACGCGUGGGUAACCUGCCCCAUACAGGGGGAUAACAGUUAGAAAUGACUGCUAAUACCGCAUGAGCGCACAGUGCUGCAUGGCACAGUGUGAAAAACUCCGGUGGUAUGAGAUGGACCCGCGUCUGAUUAGCUAGUUGGUGGGGUAACGGCCUACCAAGGCGACGAUCAGUAGCCGGCCUGAGAGGGUGAACGGCCACAUUGGGACUGAGACACGGCCCAA
rnacentral:rRNA from 1 species